GACGAACGCUGGCGGCGUGCUUAACACAUGCAAGUCGAACGGAAAGGCCUUUUCGGAGGUACUCGAGUGGCGAACGGGUGAGUAACACGUGGGUGAUCUGCCCUGCACUCUGGGAUAAGCCUGGGAAACUGGGUCUAAUACCGGAUAGGACCGCACUUUAGUGUGUGUGGUGGAAAGUUUUUUCGGUGUAGGAUGAGCCCGCGGCCUAUCAGCUUGUUGGUGGGGUAAUGGCCUACCAAGGCGGCGACGGGUAGCCGGACUGAGAGGUUGGUCGGCCACAUUGGGACUGAGAUACGGCCCAGACUCCUACGGGAGGCAGCAGUGGGGAAUAUUGCACAAUGGGAGCAAGCCUGAUGCAGCGACGCCGCGGGGGGGAUGACGGCCUUCGGGUUGUAAACUCCUUUCGCCAGGGACGAAGCGUUUUGUGACGGUACCUGGAGAAGAAGCACCGGCUAACUACGUG
rnacentral:rRNA from 1 species